AUGCCGCUACCCUGCAAGCCGCUGACGGUCACGGCGAGUGUAUUUCAUGCUUGGGCGGAAUGUCCUUAUUGCGAGGAUAUGAGUCUAGCCUCUCUGCGCUCGUGGAAAGCUUUCUUUGCAGAGAGCGACUCCGCCCCUAGCACCCUCCCGCUUUCUUCCUCCCAGGAGCCUGUAAGGAAAAAGCAGUGGGGCAGAGCAACUCAGCACUCGAUGGCGAGUGAGCCCACGCCAGCUGAGCCACUGCGUGCCUCAAUUUCUCCACUUAGAGAGGUUUCACCUGUCCACUUCUCCCUUCCGGAUCAGCAUCCCUAUGUGGCUGCAACUGAUAUGGUUUCAUUUGGGGGAAGCGAGACGCAAUGGAUGACUGCAUGUUGUUGGAGGCUUCAAAUGCGAAGGAGCUGUCAGGCUCGUAUGUCGACCCCGCACCCUUGCCAUCUGCACAGCCCAGCGCAGCCAGCAAGGGGCAUGGAUGCCGAACUAUUCCACAUCCUGUCUAAAGCUGUGGAGAAGCUGGGUUUGGAGUGGUCCCCGCCAGAGGAGCCCACCUGCAGCCACUUGGAUGAGUGGUUCUUGCCAGGGCGCAGUCAAGCCCCUCAACAACGAGCUUCACCAUUCUUCCCGGAGGUCCACGAGAUCACCAGGUCUUGGCACGCCCCUACUCGGCCCGCCUUCGAGCCUCAUCUUUGUCCGCCCUCACGACUGUCGACAGCACCUUACCUGGAUGAGUCAGUGGCCGCAAAUCUCUGCCCGCCCAUGUCCAUCAGCUGGAAUACAAAAGCCGCCCACCCGUACAAGCAAUGUAGACUUCAGCUCUUACCAGACAAGUCUACUCGUCUGCUGGACCCUGCGCCUCAGGCAUCAUCCUCAUCUGCGGGACAGGAAGAGGAGGGGGUCAAGUCUUGCUGCAGCUGGUCCAUCCCCCAAAAAAACCUCUGUUAUACCUCCAAGCACCCCGUUCAGUUCCAGGUGCCGAUGGCAGUGUUUGUGACCAAAAAUACUGUUGUGAACAUGGGGCCCAUUCUAAUCGUGUCCACACAACCAGCCGCUGUUAUAGCGGGAAAAAUAACACACCAACAUUUUCAAAAAGAGAGCAAAUUUCUACUCAUCUUCCACUCCUUUGGAGCAAGACCAAGAGUUGGACUUACUCUGCCCCGCCAGGGCGUUGAAAGUUUAUGUUGA
ensembl:lncRNA